CUUUUGGAAGGUUUCAAGAUGUGUUUGAAGUUGACUCAUGUUAAUUUUCAGCUUCUGUUUCAAAUUUUUUCUCCCUCUUUGACCCUAGGCUUUGACCUAGUGGUUUGCCUCUCACAUUGGAGCUUUGAUUUCAGGUUGAACAUCCAGGUUUCCAUAGUUGUUGAUGCUCCAUCAUUUGAGAAUUGAUGUUUGCCUUUGAUUACUAAUCUUUGUGUGUUUUGUAGGUUG
rnacentral:lncRNA from 1 species